ensembl:lncRNA
AUAUAGUUUUAAAUCAAAAAUAGCAUUUCCUCCCAAAAAAAUGAACUACUGCGUAAAAUCCCCAAAUAAAUAUUCAAUUUCCAACAGUCAAUACUCAUCCACAUGUUGCCUCUGUCGACUGUUCCUCCACUUUUGGUGAGGCCCUUUCUCCUUUGAAUCUCUUUCUCAACUCACAUUCGUACUUUGGAAGAAGGCAGUGUAACGUUGGGUUUUCACCAACAAAGAAUUCAGCAGGAGAAGUUCCACCCCAUUAGUUUUCAAUGAGGGCACGCAGAGAAACGUGUUGGGGAUUGUGGCGAGAAACCUUCUAGCGGAGCAGUAGAAAAAGUUGAGCUCUGCUCUAUUUUAUGCGAAGCGUUGUCAAGAAGAGGCCUCGCCUCUGGUCUAAACCCACUUGUGUUAGCAUCCAAGGGAGAAAACGUGUUACUUCCGCUUGUCAUCCUCCCUCGUCCGCUGUCAGGCGUGAGGAGACAGUGAUGCAAUGCGUCCCGCUCCCUGUCCCAGAAGCCCUGUCACCUGAAGGAAGUGGCAUUAACCACCCUGGACAGCCAGCCACCACUGCACCAGGGCUGCUGUUGUGGAAUCGUGAUGAAACCAUAUGGAGACUGGGCGGCGUAAAUGACUUCUUAGGAGUGCAGCGAGAUGUGAAGGACGGACUGACAGGAGACGGGAGCGCGGCGAGCACACUAAUGAGCUACAUGCUUCAC